CCUACGGGAGGCAGCAGUGGGGAAUUUUGCGCAAUGGGGGAAACCCUGACGCAGCAACGCCGCGUGGAGGAUGAAGCCCCUUGGGGCGUAAACUCCUUUCGACCAAGACGAUAAUGACGGUACUGGUGGAAGAAGCACCGGCUAACUCUGUGCCAGCAGCCGCGGUAAU
rnacentral:rRNA from 1 species